rnacentral:misc_RNA from 1 species
UAGGCCAUCUAGUUUUACAUAUAGCAGAAAGUUCUAGGGGAAUCGGUUCUAUUGAUACUGUCACUUCAUCUAUGAUGUGUUUACUGUUCCGUUGAAUACCUACGAUUCUACAGGCUUGCAUGUACUUUUCAUACUCGACAGUUGCUAUGGAUGUGCACUUGUAUUACGGAACGAUGUCAGUAAAAAUGAAGAUAUAUAAAUACAAAUGAAUAUAGUUAAAUUAUUUGGCAUAUUUGUGACCGUGUCACCUAAUUUUAGCUCCGACUUUACUAGAUGUACAUUAUAAAUGUGUGAUUUGAAAGUGAAUGAAAUAAAUAUACAUGUAUCUACUCGGCUUAAGUGCAAUAGACAUUGCUUGGUAAAUAUGACUUUGCCAAAGACAAUUAAAGAGCUAUUUUUCAUGAAUA